GGAACCUAUAGAGAGAACCUAUAGAGAUUAGACAGGGACCAUUCACUCCUAAAAAUAGGGAUCAAUCCAACUCCCCUGUACCUAGCUGUGUGUCCAUGAAGAGUAACCAGUCCAUUAGAGAACCUAUAGAAUUCAGAGAAGGAACUUUUCAAACUAACCAAAGGGUCCAGCAGGAGAGACCAGACUCCCCUGUACCCAGUGGUAUAUCCAUGAAGAGUGACCAGUCAAAGAGAGAGCCUGUAGAAUUCCGGACUGGAGACUUUCCUCCAAAACAAGAGUAAAAAGUAUUGUUGUCAUUUUAAGAAAUCUGAGUGUGAUUUCCAGAGAUAAAAAAGCUUAGCAACGGUACUUGCCUUGUUCCUACACAGAGUACCCAGAGACCAAUAUGAGAAGUCAGAGUCAUAAAUUCCAAAUGGUCAGUCUGCCCCAAGUCAUGAAAUGGACCUGUUUUCCAUAUUUAAGGUGGGUUGUCUUAAUUUGCUUGUGCUGGAAAAUGGCUUCGAAACCUCGAUUCUUACCUCCAAGACUGUUUUGACUUAGUACUCUAUGUCAUUUUGAAUUGUUUGUUGCAAUUGCUUGAAUGCAAUGUCAUCUCUUUUGUGAAGAAUGAAUUGAAGAGGUUCCAGAGGAUUCUUUGUAAAUAUUACACAGAUAAACAUACUGAGAAUGAGAAGCAGGAGAGCAGUGCCAGAGAAGGGGCUCUGAAGACCACACUGCACAUUCUGAGGAACAUGAACCAGAAGGAGCUGGCUGACUCGCUGGAGAAAUAUAAGAAUUCAAGUCUUUGUUGGUCGGAGGCUAGAUCCUCUUUACCUACAGCAAAAAAUCUGAUGCAUCUGCCAUUCUUCCCUUGAGUAGGGCAGUUAACCCCCAACAACAACUGCUCCUCUGGCGCCGAUGACGUGAACGUAGAUUAAGGCAGCACCCGCACCUCUGAUUCAGAGGGGUUGUAUUUGUAUUUAUUAUGGAUUCCCAACUACUCUUCCUGGGGUCCAA